UAAAAAUAGGUCUGUACUAAGCCCUGAAAUCUGAAUGGAUAUAUACAAGCUGGAAGUAUAAGAUUUACUUUUCCAUCUACCUGGAGUUGCACUCAGCUUAUAUUGCUGUGGGGAAGAAGAAUUAGCUUUAAGUGCCUUUACAUCUCACUCCAGAGCUAGCUGGGAAUUGGGUUGGCCCCUAGCCUCAUUGCAGUAACCUCCAAGCUCUCAUUUAUACCAAUGACUCCCAAGAGGCUGUUGUCCUAGCUCUGUUACCAAGAUGUGGACUCUCUCUUGCUACAAUUCCUUCCUCUUGAUUAUAGUGGCAAAAUCUGUUGCUCCUGCAACAGAGGCUAAAUUCAAGGUUUUUGUACCACUGUGAGUCAUGCACUUGCAGGCUGAGGUGUUCUCCAGCUGAUUUGUAUCUUUUGUUCUUGUGGUGUAGCUUAGAGACAAUGGGAUAGGACAGGGAGGACACAGUUAGCCCUCUGUAGCACCAUAAGGUAAAUUAAUUGAGGGCACAAAGUGCUGCUGGCCCUCUGUGUUGUGGGAGACCUUGGUAAGCAGUCCUAGCAGGAACUAGGCUUUGCAGAAUGUUGAAGUGAGUACUACCAGAAAGAGCAGCAUAGUGGCUGGUAGCUGCUGACUUGAGUCAGUGGUGGUUUUUCCAUUACUCUUGCCACACCAACAUACUUCAGAGAAAUGAAAAUCAUAGAAAUUAGAAAGAGGAAGUGCUGCUAAUUCUAGGCUGAAUGUUGAAUGAGAAAACAGAGGUGGUCUCCAACCAGAGCUGCAGCAGCCCAUGGGGCAGACUAAGGCAGCCUCCAAACAUCCAGUGUGCAACAUGCAGUGGUUCCCAGUGCACAGCGCUGUUUAAUGGCGUGUGACCUGCAGCAUCCAGUUACUGCCAGCUCCUCAUGGCUGUGAAUUUGGGCCCCACACUGCUGAAGUACCCCAGGAGUGCUCAGAAAUUGGAUCUCCGAGUGUGUAAUAUUUUUGGCCAAUGCAACUGAAUCCAAGGGAAAAGGCAAGAUGAACAGGAGGCUGGAGCACAAUCAUUUGCCUGCCCACUCCUGGCCCUGCUUACUGACAGCUUGGUUAAUCUAUCCCUGUGUGUAUUUUACAAUCCAAAUUACAUAGACUAUGAACUCCUAUGUUUGGAAGGACCCUCAUCUCCUACAGCGUAUCUCAUCAAGCAUAGAUAAGUGACUUUGUACCACCCUGUGUAUGUAAACUUAAAUUUUAUAUGCAGAAAAGUAUGAUAAUACCUUAGUACUGACCUUGGGAACUGAUUGUUGUUGUUUUGUUCUGCUUUUUUAUUAUUAUUAUUACUAUUAUUCUGUACAGGCUCUGAGAGACAAAGGCAGUUCUGUUUUUAAUUACUUUAAGUAGCUUGUAAGUAGCUGGAACAGCUUUUUUAUGAAACCUGAUUUGAAUAUAUUCCAGGCUGCAGAUAGAC
rnacentral:lncRNA from 1 species